rnacentral:rRNA from 1 species
UACGUAGGGGCCUAGCGUUGUCCGGAAUUAUUGGGCGUAAAGAGCUCGUAGGCGGUUCGGCAAAUCGGAUGUGAAAUCUCCACGCUUAACGUGGAGGGGCCAUUCGAAACUGCUGUGACUCGAGUCCGGUAGGGGAGUGUGGAAUUCCCGGUGUAGCGGUGAAAUGCGCAGAUAUCGGGAGGAACACCAGUAGCGAAGGCGGCACUCUGGGCCGGUACUGACGCUGAGGAGCGAAAGCCAGGGGAGCAAACGGG